AUUGAACGCUGGCGGCAGGCCUAACACAUGCAAGUCGAACGGUAACAGGAAGAAGCUUGCUUCUUCGCUGACGAGUGGCGGACGGGUGAGUAAUGUCUGGGAAACUGCCUGAUGGAGGGGGAUAACUACUGGAAACGGUAGCUAAUACCGCAUAACGUCGCAAGACCAAAGAGGGGGACCUUCGGGCCUCUUGCCAUCGGAUGUGCCCAGAUGGGAUUAGCUAGUAGGUGGGGUAACGGCUCACCUAGGCGACGAUCCCUAGCUGGUCUGAGAGGAUGACCAGCCACACUGGAACUGAGACACGGUCCAGACUCCUACGGGAGGCAGCAGUGGGGAAUAUUGCACAAUGGGCGCAAGCCUGAUGCAGCCAUGCCGCGUGUAUGAAGAAGGCCUUCGGGUUGUAAAGUACUUUCAGCGGGGAGGAAGGGAGUAAAGUUAAUACCUUUGCUCAUUGACGUUACCCGCAGAAGAAGCACCGGCUAACUCCGUGCCAGCAGCCGCGGUAAUACGGAGGGUGCAAGCGUUAAUCGGAAUUACUGGGCGUAAAGCGCACGCAGGCGGUUUGUUAAGUCAGAUGUGAAAUCCCCGGGCUCAACCUGGGAACUGCAUCUGAUACUGGCAAGCUUGAGUCUCGUAGAGGGGGGUAGAAUUCCAGGUGUAGCGGUGAAAUGCGUAGAGAUCUGGAGGAAUACCGGUGGCGAAGGC
rnacentral:rRNA from 1 species